UGGGGAAUAUUGGACAAUGGGGCAACCGUGCAUCCAGCAAUGCCGCGUGUGUGAAGAAGGUUUUCGGAUUGUAAAGCACUUUCGACGGGGACGAUGAUGACGGUACCCGUAGAAGAAGCCCGGCGUACAUUCGUGCCAGCAGCCGCGGUAAUACGAAGGGGCGUAGCGUUGCUCGGAAUGACUGGGCGUAAAGGGCGUGUAGGCGGUUUGUACAGUCAGAUGUGAAAUCCCGGCGUAUCAUGGGAGCUGCAUUUGAUACGUGCAGACUAGAGUGUGAGAGAGGGUUGUGGAAUUCCCAGUGUAGAGGUGAAAUUCGUAGAUAUU
rnacentral:rRNA from 1 species